rnacentral:rRNA from 1 species
AGAGUUUGAUCCUGGCUCAGAACGAACGCUGGCGGCAGGCCUAACACAUGCAAGUCGAGCGCUGUAGCAAUACAGAGCGGCGCACGGGUGAGUAACACGUGGGAACGUGCCCUAUGGUUCGGAAUAACUCAGGGAAACUUGAGCUAAUACCGGAUAAGCCCUUCGGGGGAAAGAUUUAUCGCCAUUGGAGCGGCCCGCGUUGGAUUAGCUAGUUGGUGGGGUAAUGGCCUACCAAGGCUGCGAUCCAUAGCUGGUUUGAGAGAACGACCAGCCACACUGGGACUGAGACACGGCCCAGACUCCUACGGGAGGCAGCAGUGGGGAAUCUUGGACAAUGGGGGAAACCCUGAUCCAUCCAUGCCGCGUGAGUGAUGAAGGCCCUAGGGUUGUAAAACUCUUUUCGGCGGGGACGAUAAUGACGGUNCCCGCAGAAGAAGCUCCGGGUAACUCCGNGCCAGUCAGCCGGCGGGUAAUACNGANGGGGGCUUNGCGUNGUUNCGGAAUUACUUGGGNCGUAAAGCGNCGCCCANGGCGGUCNUUUCAUGUCCGGGGGCUGACAGGCCCAGGGNCUCNNCCCUUGGGAANGGCCUUUCUGNGACUUNCAGGAGUUGUGUACGUGGAUNGGUCNCGNCGANAUUCGGCGUGUAGAGGUGAANUUCCGUANANAUGUNNGGNANAGCNCCANUUGNNNAANNGUGGGCUCA